GAUGAACGCUGGCGGCGUGCCUAACACAUGCAAGUCGAGCGGCAGCGCGGGGUGCUUGCACCCUGUCGGCGAGCGGCGGACGGCUGAGUAACGCGUGGGAACGUGCCCCAAAGUGAGGAAUAACUGCCCGAAAGGGUAGCUAAUACCGCAUAUUAUCUUCGGAUCAAAGGAUUUAUCCGCUUUGGGAGCGGCUCGCGUCGGAUUAGGUAGUUGGUGAGGUAAUGGCUCACCAAGCCGACGAUCCGUAGCUGGUCUGAGAGGAUGACCAGCCAGACUGGAACUGAGACACGGUCCAGACUCCUACGGGAGGCAGCAGUUAGGAAUCUUCCACAAUGGGCGAAAGCCUGAUGGAGCAACGCCGCGUGCAGGACGAAGGCCUUCGGGUUGUAAACUGCUUUUAUAAGUGAGGAAUAUGACGGUAACUUAUGAAUAAGGAUCGGCUAACUACGUG
rnacentral:rRNA from 1 species